GCAGGUGUUUUGAGUAAAUCAGCUGAUUAGAGUGGCAGCAGGUGUCUUCUAUAUUCAGCCUUUUCAGAAUAUUCUAAUUUUUUGAGAUACCAAAUUUGGAGUUUUCAUUAGUUGUCACUUAUGAAUAUCAAAUUUAAAUGUAAUGAACAUUGGAAAUACAUUGGUCUGUGUGCAUUGCAUGAAUAUAAUGUACAAGUUUCACGUUUUGAAUGGAAUUACUGAAAUAUUUUCAACCUUUUGAUGAUAUUCUAAUUUACUGGCCAGCACCUGUAGAAGACUUGAGGUUAUCCUAAUAAUAAAAAGUACAGGUUUUAGGUUGGUGUGAUAGAAGGUCAUCAAGGAAAUAAUGCUACUAUAAAACUUCAUUCCUUUUUAAAAUAAGGGAAAAAGACAAAGUCAAUGAAUAGAAAUUUUAAAUGAAAUAAUCAUGUGGCAUGCUCCUUUAUGUUGCACAUGGUUUUAGUUUCGAAGAUCAAUCAAAUCAAAGAUACUUUAUUAAUCCUAGAGGGAAAUUAGAGUUUCAGUACACACAAUUCAGAGAUUAGACAUACAUGGGUAAGACAAACAUCUUACCAUACCAUACCAUACCAUACCAUACAUACAAUACCAUACCAUACAUACAAUACCAUACAUACAAUACCACAAAAAACACAAACCUGAAGGAGUUCUGCCGUGUUGUGGAUUCAUGCUAACCAUUAGCUUCUACUAGAGGAGAAGUGCUCUACUCUCUCCUGGAGGCUAUAAUCAACAACAACUUUCCCUGUCGUGAACCAAGAUGGAUGAGACCAUGAAUGCUAAUUUUCAGUGUGACAUAGAUCUGCAUGGCUUUUUCUGAUCCGAGCAUUUCCCUGUUUCUAUCAACAGCUAAUACAGGAAGUAGGGGUAGAAGAUUUUUUUUAUGUUCAAUCUGCAUGUUAAAGAGACAAUUUGUAAAUUUUUCAUAUUUUUAAAUGAUUUUCUUGAGCCAGUAUGUGCUAAAAUGACCCUUUAUUGAAUUCAAUUCAAUUCAAAUUCAGAUACUUUAUUAAUCCCUGAGGGAAAAUAGAGUUUCAGUACACACAAUUCAGAGAUCAGACAUACAUGGGCAAGACACAUGACAAGAAUUGGUGACUGUGGUCAUUCGCAACCCUGGGUCGCGCUACCGUA
rnacentral:lncRNA from 1 species